rnacentral:rRNA from 1 species
CGAACGGUAGCAGAAAUUAGCUUGCUAAUUUGCUGACGAGUGGCGGACGGGUGAGUAAUGCUUGGGAACUUGCCUUUGCGAGGGGGAUAACAGUUGGAAACGACUGCUAAUACCGCAUAAUGUCUACGGACCAAAGCGGGCUUUGGCUCGCACCUGAAGAGAGGCCCAAGUGAGAUUAGCUAGUUGGUAAGGUAAAGGCUUACCAAGGCAACGAUCUCUAGCUGUUCUGAGAGGAAGAUCAGCCACACUGGGACUGAGACACGGCCCAGACUCCUACGGGAGGCAGCAGUGGGGAAUAUUGCACAAUGGGGGAAACCCUGAUGCAGCCAUGCCGCGUGUGUGAAGAAGGCCUUCGGGUUGUAAAGCACUUUCAGUUGUGAGGAAAGGUUGGUAGUUAAUACCUGCCAGCUGUGACGUUAACAACAGAAGAAGCACCGGCUAACUCCGUGCCAGCAGCCGCGGUAAUACGGAGGGUGCGAGCGUUAAUCGGAAUUACUGGGCGUAAAGCGCACGCAGGCGGUUUGUUAAGCUAGAUGUGAAAGCCCCGGGCUCAACCUGGGAUGGUCAUUUAGAACUGGCAGACUAGAGUCUUGGAGAGGGGAGUGGAAUUCCAGGUGUAGCGGUGAAAUGCGUAGAUAUCUGGAGGAACAUCAGUGGCGAAGGCGGCUCCCUGGCCAAAGACUGACGCUCAUGUGCGAAAGUGUGGGUAGCGAACAGGAUUAGAUACCCUGGUAGUCCACACCGUAAACGCUGUCUACUAGCUGUUUGUGAAUUUAAUUCGUGAGUAGCGAAGCUAACGCGCUAAGUAGACCGCCUGGGGAGUACGGCCGCAAGGUUAAAACUCAAAUGAAUUGACGGGGCCCGCACAAGCGGUGGAGCAUGUGUUUAUUUCGAUGCAGCGCGAAGAACCUUACCUACACUUGACAUGCAGAGACUUUCAGAGAUGGAUUGUGCCUUCGGGAACUCUGACACAGUGCUGCAUGCUGUCGUCAGCUCGUGUCGUGAGAUGUUGGUUAAGUCCCGCAACGAGCGCAACCUUGUCCUUAGUGCCAGCAUUUAGUUGGGCACUCUAAGGAGACUGGCGGGUGACAAUCCCGCAAGAAAAUUGACAACCCCCAGUUUUCAUGGGCUCUUAUGUGAGGCUACCACACCGUGCUACAUGGGUAUACAAAGGGAGACAACAACAGGGUGUGUGAUGCGACCACCCUCACAAAUAGGUCGAUGACCAGAUUGAAGUUUGUGAAUGCAACUUCUUAGAAUGCGAGACGCUCUUUAUUAUCGUCGACGCCACGCACAUCUGUG